GAAUGCUGACAUAAGUAACGAUAAAGCGGGUGAAAAGCCCGCUCGCCGGAAGACCAAGGGUUCCUGUCCAACGUUAAUCGGGGCAGGGUGAGUCGACCCCUAAGGCGAGGCCGAAAGGCGUAGUCGAUGGGAAACGGGUUAAUAUUCCCGUACUUGGUGUUACUGCGAAGGGGGGACGGAGAAGGCUAUGUUGGCCGGGCGACGGUUGUCCCGGUUUAAGCGUGUAGGUGUGUGUUCCAGGUAAAUCCGGUUCACUUUAACACUGAGGCGUGACGACGAGGCACUACGGUGCUGAAGCAACAAAUGCCCUGCUUCCAGGAAAAGCCUCUAAGCAUCAGGUAACAUCAAAUCGUACCCCAAACCGACACAGGUGGUCAGGUAGAGAAUACCAAGGCGCUUGAGAGAACUCGGGUGAAGGAACUAGGCAAAAUGGUGCCGUAACUUCGGGAGAAGGCACGCUGACACGUAGGUGAAGUGAUUUACUCAUGGAGCUGAAGUCAGUCGAAGAUACCAGCUGGCUGCAACUGUUUAUUAAAAACACAGCACUGUGCAAACACGAAAGUGGACGUAUACGGUGUGACGCCUGCCCGGUGCCGGAAGGUUAAUUGAUGGGGUCAGCGCAAGCGAAGCUCCUGAUCGAAGCCCCGGUAAACGGCGGCCGUAACUAUAACGGUCCUAAGGUAGCGAAAUUCCUUGUCGGGUAAGUUCCGACCUGCACGAAUGGCGUAAUGAUGGCCAGGCUGUCUCCACCCGAGACUCAGUGAAAUUGAACUCGCUGUGAAGAUGCAGUGUACCCGCGGCAAGACGGAAAGACCCCGUGAACCUUUACUAUAGCUUGACACUGAACAUUGAGCCUUGAUGUGUAGGAUAGGUGGGAGGCUUUGAAGUGUGGACGCCAGUCUGCAUGGAGCCGACCUUGAAAUACCACCCUUUAAUGUUUGAUGUUCUAACGUGGACCCGUGAUCCGGGUUGCGGACAGUGUCUGGUGGGUAGUUUGACUGGGGCGGUCUCCUCCUAAAGAGUAACGGAGGAGCACGAAGGUUGGCUAAUCCUGGUCGGACAUCAGGAGGUUAGUGCAAUGGCAUAAGCCAGCUUGACUGCGAGCGUGACGGCGCGAGCAGGUGCGAAAGCAGGUCAUAGUGAUCCGGUGGUUCUGAAUGGAAGGGCCAUCGCUCAACGGAUAAAAGGUACUCCGGGGAUAACAGGCUGAUACCGCCCAAGAGUUCAUAUCGACGGCGGUGUUUGGCACCUCGAUGUCGGCUCAUCACAUCCUGGGGCUGAAGUAGGUCCCAAGGGUAUGGCUGUUCGCCAUUUAAAGUGGUACGCGAGCUGGGUUUAGAACGUCGUGAGACAGUUCGGUCCCUAUCUGCCGUGGGCGCUGGAGAACUGAGGGGGGCUGCUCCUAGUACGAGAGGACCGGAGUGGACGCAUCACUGGUGUUCGGGUUGUCAUGCCAAUGGCACUGCCCGGUAGCUAAAUGCGGAAGAGAUAAGUGCUGAAAGCAUCUAAGCACGAAACUUGCCCCGAGAUGAGUUCUCCCUGAGACUUAGAGUCUCCUGAAGGAACGUUGAAGACGACGACGUUGAUAGGCCGGGUGUGUAAGCGCAGCGAUGCGUUGAGCUAACCGGUACUAAUGAACCGUGAGGUUUAACCUU
rnacentral:rRNA from 1 species